rnacentral:tRNA from 1 species
AAGACGUUAGUAAAAAUAUUACAAAGCCUUGUCAAGGCUUAGUUACUAGUUAGAAUCUUGUACGUCUUA